GGGUCAGUAGGUUGGUCGUGCCACUGGUAUGCACUGGCCUUACUGAUUCCUCCUUCUUGAAGAACUGUGAUGUCAUUUACUUGGUGUUGCAGGGAAACAGGACUGUUACUUUGAAAAAAUUAGAGUGUUUAAAGCAGGCUAACGCUUGAAUACAUUAGCAUGGAAUAAUGAAAUAGGACGUUUGAUCCUAUUUUGUUGGUUUCUAGGAUUGACGUA
rnacentral:rRNA from 2 species